AUUGAACGCUGGCGGCAGGCCUAACACAUGCAAGUCGAGCGAGCGGCAGACGGGUGAGUAAUGUCUAGGAAUCUGCCUGGUAGUGGGGGAUAACGUCCGGUAAUGGGCGCUAAUACUGCAUACUUUCAGAUGAGUCUAGGUCGGAUUAGCUAGUAGGUGGGGUAACGGCUCACCUAGGCGACGAUCCCUAGCUGGUCUGAGAGGAUGACCAGCCACGCUGGAACUGGGACACGGUCCAGACUCCUACGGGAGGCAGCAGUGGGGAAUAUGGCACAAUGGGCGCAAGCCUGAUGCAGCCAUGCCGCGUGUAGGAAGAAGGCCUUCGGGUUGUAAAGUACUUUCAGCGGGGAGGCGUUACCCGCAGAAGAAGCACCGGCUAACUCCGUGCCAGCAGCCGCGGUAAUUC
rnacentral:rRNA from 1 species